GUGCCUGUGCUGCCCCGGAUCCUCGCUCUCUGGCCCCCUUCCUGGCACACAGCUCUCUCUGCGAGGGACGCGGCCACCCUCUGUCCCUGUCCCCUCCGCAGAAGGAGGGAGGCGCCGCUGCCUGCGGGGCCAGAGAGGGUGAAGCCAGUGCCAAGCGCCCCCGCAAGCCGCGCUCCAGAUCCCCCGUCACCAUCCCUCAGUGCGCGCAGUCCCCGCUCCCAGCGCGCCACGUUCUCCACCUGCCCGGAGCGCCCCAACGUCCCUGCUUCCAGAGAGCAGUUCCCUGAGUCCCGGCAGCCCCCCUCCGUCCUCUUCUCCCCCAAAGUCCGAGGAAGUCGAACUCAGAGCGGCCGGUCGGCUCGCCGAGGCGGCGGACAGUUGCUGCGAGAGCGCGGCGCGGAGCGAGACUGCGCGCAGCGCCCGGGGUCUCGCCCCAGAGGGCUGGCUCUGCACGCCCGGAGGCCGAAGUCCCGAACCCCACAAGCCGGGCCCGACCUGAGCCCUCUGCGUUACCUGGCACGGCCGGCGACUCUCCGGAGACCUUCGGUCCUGCCUGCUUCUGGGCGGGCGUCCAGCUCACAUCGCUGCUUUCCCCGCCGGGCGGCUGGUGUCCCUCUGGGUUCGUUCGGCCCCUGCUCGCGGCGCUGUCCCCGCCCCCCACCCCCCUGCCCCUCUGUCAGAAAUGUCACAGCUUUUCUGCCUUCGGAUGUUUCGCAAAGUCUCUGUGCGGUCACCAGGAGUUGGGGGGCACUGGCAGGUGCCCCAACCCCGCCGCCGCCCUGCCCUGCCCUUUCGCGGCGCCCUGCGUUCAGCCUGUCCGAUGAUGCAGCUGAGGCUCAAAAAGGUGAGUGAAGCUGACCCUUGAGCAACAUGGGGGUCAGGAGCACUACCCUCAUGUAGUCAAAAAUUCACAUGUAAUUUUUGACUCCCCACAACUUUACUAAUAGCCUACUGUUGUCUGGAAACUUUAUGGAUAACAUAAGCAACUGACUAACACAUAUUUUAUAUGCUAUACAUUUCAUAUGCUGUAUUCUUAUAAUAAUCUGGAGAAAAUAAAAUAUUAAAGAAAUCAUAAGGAAAAGGAAAUAUAUUUACUAUUCAUUAAGUGGAAGUGGAGCAUCAUAAAGGUCUUCAUCAUCCUUCUUCAUCAUCCUACUCACCUUCAUGCUGAGUAGGUGGAGGAGAAGGAGAAAGAGGAAGGAUUGGUCUCAUCCUGUCAGAGAUGACAGAUGGGAGAAAAUCCAUGUGUAAGUGGCCUCAUACAGUUCACACUUUUGUUGUUCAAGGAUCAGCUGUAGUGUGUCCAGGUCAUAUAGCUCAUAAGUGGAGAGAUCAACCUUGACCCAAAGGAGCUUGAUUAGCAGGCCAGGGCCUUCAGGUAUCCAGCAGCUUCCACUGCCUUUUUUAUUUAAAGAGAAGAUCAGUUUCUUGGUGUUUUGUUGAAGUUACUUGUUUCUGGUGAUCAAUUCCUUACCCUAAAUUUAGAGAAAAGCAUGAGCCUUUUUGUGUUGGUGAAUUUUAUGGGUCAACUUGACUGAGCCAUAAGGUAUUCAGAUAUUCGGUAGAACAUCAUCCUGGAAGUUUUUCUGAGAAUGUUUUUUUGGAUAAGACUAGCAUUUAUUCUGUUCUGUUGGUUGCUGGUCCAUGCUAAUGAUUGUUUCUUUUGCUCUGCAGAAGCUCUUAAGUUUAAUUAGAUCCUAUUUGUUAUUUUGGCUUUUGUUGCCAUUGCUUUUGGUGUUUUAGUCGUGAAGUCCUUGCCUAUGUCUGUGUCCUGAAUGGUUUUGCCUAGAUUUUCUUCUAGGGUUUUUAUGGUGUUAGGUUUUAUGUUUAAAUCCUUAAUCCAUCUGGAGUUAAUUUUUGUAUAAGGUGUAAAGAAGGGGUCCAGUUUUAGCUUUCUGCAUAUGGCUAGCUAGUUUUCUCAACACAUCUGACAAAGGGUUAAUAUCCAGAAUCUACAAAGAACUAAAACAAAUUUACAAGAAAAAAACAAACAACCCAUCAAAAAGUGGGUGAAGAAUACGAACAGACACUUUUCAAAAGAAGACAUUUAUGUGGCCAACAAACAUGAAAAAAUGCUCAUUAUCACUGGUCAUUAGAGAAAUGCAAAUCAAAACCACAUUGAGAUACCAUCUCACGCCAGUUAGAAUGGCGAUCAUUAAAAAAUCUGGAGACAACAGAUGCUAGAGAGGAUGUGAAGAAAUAGGAACACUUUUACACUGUUGGUGGGAAUAUAAAUUAGUUCAACCAUUGUGGUAGACAGUGUGGCGAUUUCUCAAGGAUCUAGAAAUAGAAAUACCAUUUGACCCAGCAAUUGCAUUACUGGGUAUGUACCCAAGGAAUUAUAAAUUGUGCUAUUAUAAAGACACAUGCAUAUGUAUGUUCAUUGUGGCACUGUUUACAAUAGCAAAUACCUGGAACCAACCCAAAUGCCCAUCAAUGAUAGACUGGAUAAAGAAAAUGUUACAUGUAUAUACUAUGGAAUACUAUGCAGCCAUAAAAAGUGAUGAGUUAAUAUCCUUUGUAGGGACAUGGAUGAAUCUGGAAACCAUCAUUCUCAGAAAACUGAUGCAAGAACAGAAAAACAAACGUUGCAUGUUCUCACUCAUAGGCAGGUGUUGAACAAAGGAGAACAUCACAGAUUAGGGUCUGUUGGUGGUUGGGGGA
rnacentral:lncRNA from 1 species